CCUACGGGAGGCAGCAGUGGGGAAUAUUGGACAAUGGGGGGAACCCUGAUCCAGCCAUGCCGCGUGUGUGAAGAAGGCCCUCGGGGUGUAAAGCACUUUCAGUGAGGAAGAACGCCUGGUGGUUAAUACCCAUCAGGAAAGACAUCACUCACAGAAGAAGCACCGGCUAACUCCGUGCCAGCAGCCGCGGUAAUACGGAGGGUGCGAGCGUUAAUCGGAAUUACUGGGCGUAAAGCGCGCGUAGGUGGCUUGAUAAGCCGGUUGUGAAAGCCCCGGGCUCAACCUGGGAACGGCAUCCGGAACUGUCAAGCUAGAGUGAAGGAGAGGAAGGUAGAAUUCCCGGUGUAGCGGUGAAAUGCGUAGAGAUCGGGAGGAAUACCAGUGGCGAAGGCGGCCUUCUGGACUGACACUGACACUGAGGUGCGAAAGCGUGGGUAGCAAACAGGAUUAGAUACCCCAGUAGUC
rnacentral:rRNA from 1 species